rnacentral:rRNA from 1 species
AGUGAACGCUGGCGGUAGGCCUAACACAUGCAAGUCGAACGGCAGCACAGUAGGAGCUUGCUCUUACGGGUGGCGAGUGGCGGACGGGUGAGGAAUACAUCGGAAUCUACUUUUUCGUGGGGGAUAACGUAGGGAAACUUACGCUACUACCGCAUACGACCUACGGGUGAAAGCAGGGGAUCUUCGGACCUUGCGCGAUUGAAUGAGCCGAUGUCGGAUUAGCUAGUUGGCGGGGUAAAGGCCCACCAAGGCGACGAUCCGUAGCUGGUCUGAGAGGAUGAUCAGCCACACUGGAACUGAGACACGGUCCAGACUCCUACGGGAGGCAGCAGUGGGGAAUAUUGGACAAUGGGCGCAAGCCUGAUCCAGCCAUACCGCGUGGGUGAAGAAGGCCUUCGGGUUGUAAAGCCCUUUUGUUGGGAAAGAAAAGCAGCAGGUUAAUACCCCGCUGUUCUGACGGUACCCAAAGAAUAAGCACCGGCUAACUUCGUG